CACGUAGGGGACGAGCGUUGUCCGGAUUCAUUGGGCGUAAAGCGCGCGUAGGCGGCUCGGAAAGUCGGUCGUGAAAUGCCGGGGCUCAACCCCGGGACUGCGUCCGAUACUCUCGAGCUGGAGGCAGGUAGGGGAGAUCGGAAUUCCUGGUGUAGCGGUGAAAUGCGCAGAUAUCAGGAGGAACACCAAUGGCGAAGGCAGCACUCUGGGACGUGACUGACGCUGAGACGCGAAAGCGUGGGGAGCGAACAGG
rnacentral:rRNA from 1 species